UCCGCAGUAGCUCAAAUCUGGUAGAGCAUCCGAAUGUCAAUCGGACGGUUUCAAGUUCAAAUCUUGAUUGCGGAC